GAGCCACCAGAGGCAGUGCACCCUUAGGCGUAGCACCUGCACCGCCCUGCCCUGGGGAGGCGACCCCGAGUACCCACGCGGGACACUGGGAAGAAGCAAGGCCACCUCUGCCAAGAAAGCCAGCUUCUCACUGAAGCUCUCCUGAUUGGGGAGUGUUCCUCAGAGAAUCAACCUCUGCCAGGAGAUGGAGGUGGCUUAUUUGGAAGAAAACAUCCUCACACGUGUGUCCCUGUAUAUCCGGGACCCCCAGCUAAGUGUCAGUUCCGUGCUCAGAGAACCUGUGAUUGGGAUUCUCUGGGGGGAAAUGUUCCAAACGAAUCAAUUAACACCACCAGCAGAGAGUUCAAUACCACUGUACUGAGACCCAGCUUUGUAUCAGUGCAUGAAUGAAUUACUGGUGCUCAUGUCAUUUGCAAAUAGUCAUCAUUAUAGCAUAGUGGAAAAUACCCCUACCCAUUUAGUCUGAGUAGCACCUUAGCAGCACAUUCCAAUAACCCUCAUGGACCCUCCAAAGUAUUUGCACAUAUAUGUGCAGAUUAAGCUCCAGAUAGUUUAAUAUGAGACUAUCUAUUUGGACACAAGGUCACCCCUUACACUCAUUAAACCAAUCUGAAUGAGGUCUGAUAACUCUUAAGGGAAAUCAGCACUUGAAAUGCUUUCGACUUUUUGGAGACACGGAUGGAAUAUAUCAGCAGGUUUCACUCAGCAUGAGACAGCUCUGAAAACUCCAGAAAGGACAUGUCCCUGUGCUGUCCCACCCCACCCUCAGAGUCGUUCUUCACACAUCCAGGGUUUAUGGUGGGUGUGAAUUUAAUGUAAGGGGUGGAAGGGGGGGAGAGGAGUACUUUACAGAAAAAGCGUGUUUCUUCUAACCAAAUCUGAUCUGAGUCAAUUUUUCUGCUGAGCCCUCCUACCCAGUGGGAAUUAAAAAAAAAAAAUCCAUAAACAGCACUUUUUUGUGUUCUAAAUGACAUGAAUAAAAUGAUCCAGCGCUGAAGAG